rnacentral:misc_RNA from 1 species
GAUGAAGAACGUAGCGAAAUGCGAUAAGUAAUGUGAAUUGCAGAAUUCAGUGAAUCAUCGAAUCUUUGAACGCACAUUGCGCCCGCCAGUAUUCUGGCGGGCAUGCCUGUCUGAGCGUCAUUUCAACCCUCAUGCCCCUAGGGCGUGGUGUUGGGGAUCGGCCAAAGCCCGCGAGGGACGGCCGGCCCCUAAAUCUAGUGGCGGACCCGUCGUGGCCUCCUCUGCGAAGUAGUGAUAUUCCGCAUCGGAGAGCGACGAGCCCCUGCCGUUAAACCCCCAACUUUCCAAGGUUGACCUCAGAUCAGGAAGGAAUACCCGCUGAACUUAAGCAUAUCAAUAAGCGGAGGA